AAUAAAUAAAAAAUCAAUGGCUAAGACUACAUAAUUUAUGGCAUACCCACAGGUGAAAGCGAAACGACAAAGAUGAGAGACGAAAACGAAACCCAUUUUGACUCGGCCGCCUUAUGCAUAUCAGCAACAUUGUAGGAUUGGCCAAGACACAAGAUUGUGUUGACAAAUGACCAAGUUUGGCCAUCAUCAUACCCGGACAAAUGCUUUCGUUUCAAGUGAAAUUGAUUUGCGACCCAGUUGCCUAAGCGAAUUUUAAAGACCUGCCCGUUAAUAGGUGUAAAUAAUUAUUAUGAGCGUUGUCUGGCCAAGACAAGUUGGCAUUGGCAUCGGCAUCGGCGCAACGCUAGCAGUAAUUUAAGCCCAGAAAAAAACGAACAAAAUGUUGUCCAAAAUGCUCCCCGCUGGCUUCCGUUGUUGUUCCUGACAGCGGCCAACAGUGAAAGUAAACAGUUGUGAAAUGGUAACAGAAACAACAACCUAAACCAGCAACCAGCACCUUAUAGUGAAAAGUCAAAGAAAUUGUGGUGUGGCAUGAGUCAAAUCGUUUUCAUAGUGAGGGCCCCAGCAGCAAAUGUUUGGCGAAAACCAAAACAAAAGCCAAGUUAAUGCGCAUUAAUGUUAACAACUCAUUUAGGCAGCUGCCAAGCUUGAGCAAACAUUGACUGCCCACUGGCUGUUGGCCGUUGUUUCUAUUUUGGCUGUUGCUGCCGCAGUUCGCUUAAUCAACCAAAGUUCAUGUUUUUCUUUACAAAAUGUCAAGCAACGACUCUAGAAUACCUUUCACUCUUACAACUAUAGGGAAACUUUAUGGGUAAUUGUGGGUUAGAGACAGUUCAAUAUAUUUGAUCAAUCAAAUAGCAAAACUUAAAAUUCAAUAUAAAAAUUAUCUAAAAGCUUAAGUCUGAUCAACUCAAACUCCAAUCUAACUCAUUUUAAAGGGUAAGUUACAAACUAAACUACUUAAACUCUAUGCCUUGCCGAAAUUCAAGAGAAAUAGUUGGAAAAUCGUCUGUUGGAAUCAGCACAGCACUGAAAGUCUCAUAUACAAGAACAACAACAAAAAAAGAAGUGGGCAACUGUGUGACACCGAAUGCCAGUGACAAGUGACCACAAAACCACAUAGACAACAAAAAAUACAAACUUUUGGUGAGUCAUCUAACAGAUCAUUAGAGAAUAUUCUCUUUUAAUGUGUGGGAAAUAUUCAAAACUCAACCUAAAUGAUAUCGAUAUAUAGAAUUUUCUCUAUCGCUGUUGCUUUUUAUGCAAAGUGGAAAAAUUCAAAACGAAAGCCUGUCCAAAUGAUUGGGAGCGAACCACCGUUGUGUGGUGGUGCAUUGAGGUGCUUCGGCUACAGCAGCCGCCAAACUGGUGCAGCAUCGGCAUACAUCGUACAUGCAAGUAUGUAUGUCUGUAUCGCCUGUUACCAAUUUCACAUUCUAAAAAAGAAAAACAACAACAACAAAAACUUACCACAAAAAUGUACAAUAAUUCAUAAGCCGCCAGGCAAUGCAAUUCUUGUUCACUCAGUCAUGCUCCAGCCACUGGGAAGCAGCAGCAGCAGGAGGAGAAUCGUGUUGCCGAAUGCCCAAUUUGGCAACAAUUUCACUGUCAACCGGAAGGCAGUCGGCUUUGGUUGUAGCUGUUGCGGCUGAGACUACGACUCGGGGGUUAGUCAAAGCCAAGUGGAUGCCUGCAAGGGCGUUGUGCGCAGAAUGUCGAACCAAAUGAAAACGAGUUUGGGCCAAAAAGCAGGUCAGCAGAACGUAGACGGACUGCAAUUACAGCUCGAAUAACAGGGGCGAAUUCAGAAUGAUGGAGGUUUUCUAAAUUAAUUAAUAAAAUAAAACUUAUCUACUGGAAA